AUGACUGGCCUGGAGACUGAAGUCCUUUGUUUAUCUGCAGAACAGGUGCAUUAUGGACAGCAGUACAGCUGCAAUACCCAGCAUUGUGCCUUAUCCCUAAACUAGAGGGACUCCAUGUGGGGGGGGGGGGCGCGGAGGGUAUUUCAGUAUCCAUGCCAAAUUAGUCAGGCACAUCA
rnacentral:sRNA from 1 species